UGCCGAAACCUAGGAUCGAACCAGGGACCUUUAGAUAUUCAAUCUAACGCUCUCCUAACUGAGCUAUUUCGGC
rnacentral:tRNA from 1 species